UCCCUUUCAGGGUCACACCUGGAGAGUUUCCAGGACUCUACCAGUCUCGACUACGGGAGGGAGAAUCAAGCAGAGGCAUACCCAUUCCAUUCCUAGCUUGGGUUGUGGCUAGCGAGUGGAAGGAAAUCUCCUAAAAGU